rnacentral:rRNA from 1 species
CCUACGGGUGGCAGCAGUGAGGAAUAUUGGUCAAUGGGCGGGAGCCUGAACCAGCCAAGUCGCGUGAGGGACGACGGUCCUAUGGAUUGUAAACCUCUUUUGUCGGGGAACAAAGGCGUCCACGGGUGGGCGGAUGAGUGUACCCGAAGAAAAAGCAUCGGCUAACUCCGUGCCAGCAGCCGCGGUAAUACGGAGGAUGCGAGCGUUAUCCGGAUUUAUUGGGUUUAAAGGGUGCGUAGGCGGACAGUCAAGUCAGCGGUAAAAAUGCGGUGCUCAACGCCGUACAGCCGUUGAAACUGGCAGUCUUGAGUGGGCGAGAAGUAUGCGGAAUGCGUGGUGUAGCGGUGAAAUGCAUAGAUAUCACGAAGAACCCCGAUUGCGAAGGCAGCCUGCCGCAGCGUUACUGACGCUGAAGCUCGAAAGCGCGGGUAUCGAACAGGAUUAGAUACCCCAGUAGUC